rnacentral:misc_RNA from 1 species
GAUGAAUAACGUAGCAAAAUGCGAUACUUGGUGUGAAUUGCAGAAUCCCGUGAACCAUCGAGUUUUUGAACGCAAGUUGCGCCCGAAGCCUUUUGGCCGAGGGCACGUCUGCCUGGGCGUCACGCAUCGCGUCGCCCCCCACAAUUCUCCGUAAAGGGAACGUGUGUUUUGGGGGCGGAUAUUGGUCUCCCGUGCUCAUGGCGUGGUUGGCCGAAAUAGGAGUCCUUUCGAUGGACGCACGAACUAGUGGUGGUCGUAAAAACCCUCGUCUUUUGUUUCGUGCUGUUGCUCGCAAGGUAAACUCUUUAAAAACCCCAAUGUGUCGUCUCUUGACGACGCUUCGACCGCGACCCCAGGUCAGGCGGGACUACCCGCUGAGUUUAAGCAUAUCAAUAAGCGGAGGA